rnacentral:rRNA from 1 species
CUAAGAAUAUUCCGCAAUGGGGGAAACCCUGACGGAGCGACGCCGCGUGGAUGAUGAAGGCCGGAAGGUUGUAAAAUCCUUUUGUGAGUGAGGAAUAAGCAGGGCAAGCAAAGGUCGUGCGGUGACUGUAGCUCAUGAAUAAGCACCGGCUAAUUACGUGCCAGCAGCCGCGGUAACACGUAAGGUGCGAGCGUUGUUCGGAAUCAUUGGGCGUAAAGGGCGCGUAGGCGGCCUGGUAAGUCUGGAGUGAAAGUCCUGCUUUUAAGGUGGGAAUUGCUUUGGAUACUGCUGGGCUUGAGUGCAGGAGAGGAAAGCGGAAUUACCGGUGUAGCGGUGAAAUGCGUAGAGAUCGGUAGGAACACCAGUGGCGAAGGCGGCUUUCUGGACUGAAA